rnacentral:rRNA from 1 species
UAAAAAACUAUCACGGAGAGUUUGAUUCUGGCUCAGGAUGAACGCUGGCGGUAUGCUUAACACAUGCAAGUUGAACGAAGAUAAUAAUUCUUGAAUUAUAAUACUUAGUAGCGGACGGGUGAGUAACGCGUAAGAAUCUACCUUUAGGAAAAGAAUAACAACUGGAAACGGUUGCUAAUACUUUAUAUGCUGAGAAGUUAAAUAGGUUACUGCCUAAAGAUGAGCUUGCGUCUGAUUAGCUAGUUGGUAAGGUAAAAGCUUACCAAGGCAAUUAUCAGUAGUUGGUCUGAGAGGAUGAUCAGCCACACUGGGACUGAGACACGGCCCAGACUCCUACGGGAGGCAGCAGUGAGGAAUUUUUCGCAAUGGGCGCAAGCCUGACGAAGCAAUACCGCGUGAAGGAUGAAGGCCUGCGGGUUGUAAACUUCUUUUAUUAGAGAAGAUAAUGACGGUAUCUAAUGAAUAAGCAUCGGCUAAAUAUGUGCCAGCAGCCGCGGUAAUACAUAUGAUGCAAGCGUUAUCCGGAAUGAUUGGGCGUAAAGCGUCUGUAGGUUGUUUAAAAAGUCAACUGUCAAAAACUAAGGCUCAACUUUAGGCAGGCAGUUGAAACUUUUAGACUAGAGUAUGGCAGAGGUAGAGGGAAUUACUGGUGUAACGGUGAAAUGUGCAGAUAUCAGUAAGAACACCAAUGGCGAAAGCACUCUACUGGACCAAAACUGACACUCAGAGACGAAAGCUAGGGGAGCGAAUAGGAUUAGAUACCCUAGUAGUCCUAGCUGUAAACGAUGGAAACUAAAUAUUGCGUUUUAAAAAUGCAGUAUUGUAGCUAACGCGUUAAGUUUCCCGCCUGGGGAGUAUGCUCGCAAGAGUGAAACUCAAAGAAAUUGACGGGGGCCCGCACAAGCGGUGGAGCAUGUGGUUUAAUUCGAUGCAACGCGAAGAACCUUACCGGGGUUUGACAUACUAUGCAUUUUUUGGAGACGAAAAAGUCUAAACAUAGAUACAGGUGGUGCAUGGCUGUCGUCAGCUCGUGUCGUGAGACGUAGGGUUAAGUCCUGUAACGAGCGCAACCCUUAUUGUUAGUUGCUUUUAGGAAACUAGCAAGACUGCCAGUGAUAAGCUGGAGGAAGGUGAGGAUGACGUCAAGUCAGCAUGCCCCUUAAAUCCCGGGCUACACACGUGCUACAAUGGUUAAGACAAAGAGAUGCUAACUUGUGAAAGUACAGCCAACCUCAAAAACUUAAUCUCAGUUCGGAUUGUAGGCUGCAACUCGCCUACAUGAAGCCGGAAUCGCUAGUAAUCGCAGGUCAGCUAUACUGCGGUGAAUACGUUCCCGGGCCUUGUACACACCGCCCGUCACACCAUCGGAGCUGACUAGGCCCGAAACCGUUGUAAACGUCUAAGGCACAGUUAGUGACGAGGGUGAAGUCGUAACAAGGUAGGGCUACUGGAAGGUGGCCCUGGAUCACCUCCUUC